UACAGAGGUGGCAAGCGUUGUCCGGAAUCAUUGGGCGUAAAGGGCGCGUAGGUGGCCCGGUCAGUCUUUGGUGAAAGCGCGGGGCUCAACCCUGCGUCGGCCAGGGAUACUGCCGCGGCUCGAGCACUGUAGAGGCAGGCGGAAUUCCGGGUGUAGCGGUGGAAUGCGUAGAGAUCCGGAAGAACACCGGUGGCGAAGGCGGCCUGCUGGGCAGUUUAGCUGACACUGAGGCGCGACAGCGUGGGGAGCAAACAGG
rnacentral:rRNA from 1 species